CUAGCGGCAGGCUUAACACAUGCAAGUCGAGGGGGUAUAGUUCUUCGGAACUAGAGACCGGCGCACGGGUGCGUAACGCGUAUGCAAUCUACCUUUGCAGAGGGAUAGCCCAGAGAAAUUUGGAUUAAUACCUCAUAGUAUAGCAGUUUCGCAUGAAACCACUAUUAAAGUCACAACGGCAAAAGAUGAGCAUGCGUCCCAUUAGCUAGUUGGUAAGGUAACGGCUUACCAAGGCUACGAUGGGUAGGGGUCCUGAGAGGGAGAUCCCCCACACUGGUACUGAGACACGGACCAGACUCCUACGGGAGGCAGCAGUGAGGAAUAUUGGACAAUGGGCGCAAGCCUGAUCCAGCCAUGCCGCGUGCAGGAUGACGGUCCUAUGGAUUGUAAACUGCUUUUGUACAGGAAGAAACACUCCCUCGUGAGGGAGCUUGACGGUACUGUAAGAAUAAGGAUCGGCUAACUCCGUG
rnacentral:rRNA from 1 species